AUACGUAGGGGGCAAGCGUUGUCCGGAAUGAUUGGGCGUAAAGGGCGCGUAGGCGGCCCGGUAAGUCUGGAGUGAAAGUCCUGUUUUUAAGAUGGGAAUUGCUUUGGAUACUGUCGGGCUUGAGUGCAGGAGAGGUAAGUGGAAUUCCCAGUGUAGCGGUGAAAUGCGUAGAGAUUGGGAGGAACACCAGUGGCGAAGGCGACUUACUGGACUGUAACUGACGCUGAGGCGCGAAAGUGUGGGGAGCAAACAGGAUUAGAUACCCUGGUAGUCCACACUGUAAACGAUGAAUGCUAGGUGUAGGGGGUAUCGACCCCUUCUGUGCCGCAGUCAACACAAUAAGCAUUCCGCCUGGGGAGUACGGCCGCAAGGUUGAAACUCAAAUGAAUUGACGGGG
rnacentral:rRNA from 1 species